UACGUAGGUGGCAAGCGUUGUCCGGAUUUAUUGGGUUUAAAGGGUGCGUAGGCGGUCUUCUAAGUCAGUGCUGAAAUAUCCCGGCUUAACCGGGGAGGGUGGCAUUGAUACUGUAGGACUUGAGUACAGACGAGGUAGGCGGAAUUGACGGUGUAGCGGUGAAAUGCUUAGAUAUCGUCAAGAACACCGAUAGCGAAGGCAGCUUACUAGGCUGUAACUGACGCUGAGGCACGAAAGUGUGGGGAUCAAACAGG
rnacentral:rRNA from 1 species